rnacentral:misc_RNA from 1 species
AGCUCACUCAUUACAGCACGAGCAGGGACGCCCUUACUCAAUGCAUGCACGUGAUCCCGAUAAGUGCUAACAACAUAAUCCUCCUUCUUCAAAAGCUUGAUGAACCCAGUUGACACAGCCUCUUGACCGUUAUAGAGAUGAACAAAACCAAACAUUUUUCCACUGUAAUACAUCGUCCUCAAAGGCUCUGCCCAACACCAUAUCCUCAUAUAGCUCCAAGCCUUCUUCUUUUGUGAUCAACAGAUUGGAGGUUGAUUUGAGCUUCUUUUCCUUAACGGCUUCAGAAACGGCAACAACAAGUGAUGGACGGUGGGAAUUGGGUUGAUUCAAUUUGGGAAAAGAAGUGAAGCGAAGUUUGCGAGUAGAUCCUAGGAAAGAAGUGGAACUUUUGAGAGGAUCGAAAACAGAUUGCUUUCCGUGAGAUCUGGAGGUGGAGGUAUUGAGAGGCAAAGGCUGAGUGAACU